GGAGAGAUGGCUCAGCAGUUAAGAGCACUGGUUACUCUUCCAGAGGACCUGGGUUCAAUUCCCAGCCCCA
rfam:Neotoma lepida isolate 417 scaffold_386, whole genome shotgun sequence.